UACGUAGGCAGCGAGCGUUGUUCGGAGUUACUGGGCGUAAAGAGCGUGUAGGCGGCUUGGUAGGUCCGCUGUGAAAACUCGAGGCUCAACCUCGAGAUGUCGGCGGAAACCACUUGGCUAGAGUCCGGAAGAGGAGAGUGGAAUUCCCGGUGUAGCGGUGAAAUGCGCAGAUAUCUGGAGGAACACCGGUGGCGAAGGCGGCAUCCUGGACCGGCAUUGACGCUGAGGAGCGAAAGCCAGGGGAGCAAACGGG
rnacentral:rRNA from 1 species